GCUGGCGGUAUGCUUAACACAUGCAAGUCGAACGGAAACGAAACUAGCUUGCUAGUAGGCGUCGAGUGGCGGACGGGUGAGUAACGCGUAGGAAUCUGCCUGAUAGUGGGGGAUAGCCCGAAGAAAUUCGGAUUAAUACCGCAUAAUCUAUUUUUAGUAAAGUGGGGGACUUUCGAGCCUCACGCUAUCAGAUGAGCCUGCGUAAGAUUAGCUUGUUGGUAGGGUAAAAGCCUACCAAGGCAACGAUCUUUAGCUGGUCUGAGAGGAUGAUCAGCCACAUCGGGACUGAGACACGGCCCGAACUCCUACGGGAGGCAGCAGUGGGGAAUAUUGGACAAUGGGGGCAACCCUGAUCCAGCAAUACCGCGUGUGUGAAGAAGGCCUGAGGGUUGUAAAGCACUUUCAAUUGUGAAGAAAAGUUAACGGUUAAUAACCGUUAACCUUGACGUUAACUAUAGAAGAAGCACCGGCUAACUCCGUGCCAGCAGCCGCGGUAAUACGGAGGGUGCAAGCGUUAAUCGGAAUUACUGGGCGUAAAGCGUGCGUAGGCGGUUUAUUAAGUCAGAUGUGAAAGCCCCGGGCUUAACCUGGGAACUGCAUUUGAAACUGGUCAACUAGAGUAUGGCAGAGGAAAGUGGAAUUUCUGGUGUAGCGGUGAAAUGCGUAGAUAUCAGAAGGAACAUCAAUGGCGAAGGCAGCUUUCUGGACCAAUACUGACGCUGAGGUACGAAAGCGUGGGUAGCAAACAGGAUUAGAUACCCUGGUAGUCCACGCCGUAAACGAUGAUAACUAGCCGUUGGAGGGAUUUACCCUUUAGUGGCGAAGCUAACGCGUUAAGUUAUCCGCC
rnacentral:rRNA from 1 species